rnacentral:lncRNA from 1 species
CUCCUCGCCGAUCAUCGCAACCGCGCCCAUCCAUCCAUCCCCCCGAUUCGCAAGCUCCUUCCCGUCUCCCGGCCUUAGCCCAGUCCCCGCCCUCCGAAAAGCAAGCUCCCCGGCCGCGCCGCGCCACCGCGAAAGAAGGCAUGGCGCAGCGCGACAAGAAGGAGGAGCCCACGGAGCUCCGGGCGCCGGAGAUCACGCUCUGCGCCAACAACUGCGGCUUCCCGGGGAACCCGGCCACGCAGAACCUCUGCCAGAGCUGCUUCUCGGCGGCCACGGCGUCGAUGUCGUCGCCGACCUCCUCCUCCUCCUCAGUUCCCGCGCCGGCCGCGGUGGCUGCUCAGCCGAGGCCGGCGCUGGCAGGCGCGCCGCCGGUGGAGCUGGUCUCCCCGGCCGGCGCGGCCGCUGACUGGCCCGCCGCGGCGGCCCCGGCUCCGGCUCCGGAGGCGGCGAGGGCGUCGGUGAACCGGUGCUCGAGCUGCAGGAAGCGGGUGGGGCUGACGGGGUUCUGGUGCCGGUGCGGCGAGCUCUUCUGCGGCGCGCACCGGUACUCGGACCGCCACGGCUGCAGCUACGACUACA